CCGUUGUACACACCGCCCGUCACAUCAUGAAAGCCGGCUGUACUAGAAGUCCCCGCGCCGACCCUCACGGGGGCAGGGCCAAGGUAUGGCGGGUGAUUGGGGUG
rnacentral:rRNA from 1 species